rnacentral:tmRNA from 1 species
GGGGUCGACUGGUUUUGACAGCGAGAUUAAUGAAACAGUAAGCACGUCGUGUAAUGACUUUGAAACACGUUAAAGGCUAGGUCAAACUUUUAAACGGCGAGAAUAACUACGCUUUAGCUGCUUAAUAACUGAAUUAUAGUAAGUUUCAAGCCACGGCACACAAGGUGUGCAAGCUAAAUGUCUCCAGAAAGCCUUAGUUAAUGGCGUUCUUAAUAGAGGCAUCGUAAAUAUUAACUAAGAUGGUGUAAUGCUUUAGUACACUUUCGAGAUUUAAAAGCUAAGUUGUAAGUAGGUGGUCUGUUACCAGCUUGCAGACUAAAACCCAAGAAUAGACUAAACGUGUAGAAAGCUCUUUGGUUACUUGUUUGGACCCGAGUUCGAUUCUCGGCGACUCCACUU